rnacentral:rRNA from 1 species
UACGUAGGGGGCAAGCGUUGUCCGGAAUCACUGGGCGUAAAGCGUGCGUAGGCGGUCUUCUGGGUCUGGGGUGAAAACUCAGGGCUCAACCUUGAGAAUGCCUUGGAAACUAGGGGACUUGAGUGCUGGAGAGGCAAGGGGAAUUCCACGUGUAGCGGUGAAAUGCGUAGAGAUGUGGAGGAAUACCAGUGGCGAAGGCGCCUUGCUGGACAGUGACUGACUCUGAGGCACGAAAGCGUGGGGAGCAAACAGG